rnacentral:tRNA from 1 species
AAGAAGCUUAUUAGUAAAGCAUCUCAUUUACACUGAGAGGAUUCUGUGCAAUUCAGACUAUUUUGAAGG